GUGCCAUGAGGGGCCCACAUUAUUAUCCCACAUGGGCAAACCCAUAUGGGGCCCACAUAGGAAACCCACAUGGGACCCACAUAUAUUGCCCAUGUGAAGCCCAUGCCCACAUGUAACCCAUGCUGCCCAGAUGGGACCCACGUGGGGCCCACAUGUCAAUGUUGGCUGGGCAUGCACACGGACACACACCCACAAUACAGUGCCCUCCAUAAGUAUCAGAACAGUAAAGACAACCUUUUUCUUUUUGCUGUGGAGACCAGAUAUUGGUAAGAUAAAUAUCAGUAUGUCAGAAGUUUAGAAUGUCACAUUUUAUUAAUCUUUGAGUUUCAACACAUACAUGCUUUAAAAACAAAGAACAACAGCAUUAAAUGCUGAUUUAUGUGUAUUGUACCCAAAUGCACAUACGUGAAUCAAACUGAUCCUACACAUUUUAUGCUUUUCAUGUGUAAACAAUCAGGACACAGCUCAGUGCCCAUUAAAAAAAAUAAUGUGACAGAUUCUGUACUUUUGUAUAAUGUUUAUCUUUUAAUGUUUAGAAAUUUCUUGACUCCACAGCAAACAGAGCAAUAUGAAGGGCACUUAUACAGUAUGUGUAAAACUGCAACAUACACAAACAGUACAGAAAAAAAGAAUACAAACACAGAAUAGACAAGCAUUACAAAUUAACUCUAGUCUCAAUGUUGAUGUAGCUUAUUCACCUUAUUUUUCACGACAACAAGGGCGGCGCCAUUUCGCUCAUUUUGUCAACGUUCUUCCGGCCGCAUAGACGAUGAGCAGCUGAGGCAGUGACUGAAGGCGACGCGUUAAGCUUAAAAAGCUCACUCGGGCGCCUUUAUGUUUCAUUCUUACCAAUUUUAAGCCAGCUGAGAAUGGUUCCUUAUCCCAAGAAUGGUUCGACUACGAUGUUCCGGUAACUUUAAACCACGCCGGGUGUUGAAAAGGUGGCCAGUUUCAGAUGCAUUGAUGUGUAGUGAUGCAGUGGACAACUGUGAGGAUGAUACAAUCAACAUGUUCCUAAACUGUGAUGCAGAAACACAAUCCAUCCGUCUCUGACCACAACUACACUUUAAAAUCACAACUCAACCUGAAGCAACAUACAUCUGAUAUGGGAAAACAAUGGUGCAGUUUCCCUGACAGGGCUUAUGCUGGUCCCAGGCUAAAAUGCAUAUUUGAGCUACAAUAAUUUAAAAACACCUUUUACUGACAUACCUCAACAUAUAUGAGUGCCAUUGUUUUGUCACAAGAUGCGCACCAGUCUUGUUUUUUUGUAGGGUUUGUUUGUAAAAACUAAAAUGUCCUAAUAUAAUUAAAUCCUAGUCCUGUAAACCCUGUCCGAGAAACUGCUCCAAUGUGUUGAGCUGGCACAAAUGUACAUAUCUCUGCUGAGAAACAACCAUCUUUGUCAGCUUUACAGAGGGUUGAUAUUGCAUCCAUUACACAGUCACCAAGCACUUUACCAGUACAUACACCAACAGCUUCCAGAUAAACACUUGGGAUCAGCUCCUGAUGACUCCGAUAAAGCUGUGUCUUAAUUUAUUGCAGGGUGGUCUUGCUUUACCUGUUGUAAAGUUACAUUAAACCUUCAUAUGUGAUCAGAUGUCAUGCAGUGAUAUUAAACAUUUACAGUGUGAUCAGAUGUUGUGCAUUUAUAUUAAACCUUUACAAUGUGAUCAGAUGUUGUGCAUUUAUAUUAAACCUUUACAAUGUGA